AGCAUUAUGCGGGUCACUCUGUAAUUGGGCGCAUGCCUGUUGAGGGCCCAAAAACAAAAGAGGGAUAAUAAAAUAAAAUAAAAUAAAAAAUAAAAAGCAAUAGGUAUAUUUCACAUUGCAAAAAGGUUUGCGUAAUUAUGGCAGUUAGCUGUACAUUAACCAUAUAUAACGACUGAACUUUUGUUUGGUACCUACAGUGUGUUCAUUUGAUUGUAACAGCAAUUAUGUUUGUUCCAUUUAGAUUAGGAAGUGGUCAGAUAAUUUUUUGGAUAAAAAUUGGAAGUAAAAACAUCUAUGUCCCUAUAUCAGCAACCAAGAAUGAAGCUCUUGUUAAUACCAGUUGUGAUUUUCACAAUUGUGAAUUCUUCUAUCUGUGUCGGGGCACUACUCGAAUCUUGCACAACAUCUGAUCCUACUUCUUUGGGUACCUGCCGCGAACUUUGUUGGAUGUCAUAUGGCUCUGGAACUUGUAUUAGUGGUGACUGCUGCAUUGACUGAAAUAAUAAAUAAGUAAUGAACGAUACAAGAGAUAAACAACAUCCUAAUGUAGGCAACAUUCAAAUAAAUAAGCAAUUUAAUUUUU